rnacentral:rRNA from 1 species
CGUGUCGUGAGAUAUUGGGUUAAGUCCCGCAACGAGCGCAACCCUCGUCUCCAGUUGCCAUCAGGUAAAGCUGGGCACUUUGGAGAAACUGCCGGUGACAAGCCGGAGGAAGGUGGGGAUGACGUCAAGUCCUCAUGGCCCUUACGGGCUGGGCUACACACGUGCUACAAUGGCGGUGACAAUGGGAAGCGAAGGUGCGAGCCGGAGCCGAUCCCAAAAAGCCGUCCCAGUUCGGAUUGCACUCUGCAACUCGAGUGCAUGAAGGUGGAAUCGCUAGUAAUCGCGGAUCAGCAUGCCGCGGUGAAUACGUUCCCGGGCCUU